GACGAACGCUGGCGGCGUGCUUAACACAUGCAAGUCGAACGAAGUGGCGAACGGGUGAGUAACGCAUAAUCAACCUGCCCUUCCGCGGGGGACAACAGUUGGAAACGACUGCUAAUACCGCAUACUGACGGCGGGGAGUGCGUCUGAUUAGCUAGUUGGAGGGGUAACGGCCCACCAAGGCGAUGAGCAGUAGCCGGCUUGAUAGAAUGAACGGCCACAUUGAGACUGAGACACGGCCCAGACUCCUACGGGAGGCAGCAGUGGGGAAUCUUCCGCAAUGGACGAAAGUCUGACGGAGCAACGCCGCGUGAGUGAUGACGGCCUUCGGGUUGUAAAGCUCUGUUAAUCGGGACGCGGUACCGGAAUAGAAAGCCACGGCUAACUACGUGCCAGCAGCCGCGGUAAUUC
rnacentral:rRNA from 1 species